rfam:Grifola frondosa strain 9006-11 000012F, whole genome shotgun sequence.
GCCCGCCUAGCUCAAUCGGAUAGAGCGUCAGACUCUUACCAUAUGCGGGUAUCUGAAGGCUGCGAGUUCGACCCUCGCGGUGGGCU